rnacentral:rRNA from 1 species
AUUGAACGCUGGCGGCAGGCUUAACACAUGCAAGUCGAGCGAGCGGCGGACGGGUGAGUAAUGUCUGGGAACCUGCCUGAUGGAGGGGGAUCACUACUGGAAACUGUAGCUAAUACCGCCUACCAUCAGCUGUGCCCAGAUGGGAUUAGCUAGUAGGUGGGGUAAUGGCUCACCUAGGCCACGAUCCCUAGCUGGUCUGAGAGGAUGACCAGCCACACUGGAACUGAGACACGGUCCAGACUCCUACGGGAGGCAGCAGUGGGGAAUAUUGAACAAUGGGCGCAAGCCUGAUGCAGCCAUGCCGCGUGUGUGAAGAAGGCCUUCGGGUUGUAAAGCACUUUCAGUGGGGAGGCGUUACCCGCAGAAGAAGCACCGGCUAACUCCGUGCCAGCAGCCGCGGUAAUUC